rnacentral:lncRNA from 1 species
CAACAUGAUAAACCUCUCAAACAAAUGACCAAAACCACUGCAAUGGUAACAGCAUCACGCGACCCGACCCGACCAACUAUAAAGAUACCCGAAACCAACCCAUUCGUGGUCUUUCUUAUGCGUCCCACGCAAACUCAUUCGUGAAAGCCUAGAGGAUUUCGAAAAUUGGUGAGUUGGCUCCUCCAACAUUUCAAUUCCACAAAUUUUAGGAUAAGUGUAAGAUUCAGGUACAUAUUUGGGCGUUUGUUAUUGGUUGGGAAAGAGAUUCAUUUUUCCCAAUGGUAAUUGGUCCACCUAUUUGGAAUCAUCUGGUAGAGAUUCCUAAAUUAGUACGUUUGUUGAUGAAUUCUUAAAGGAGGGAGGAUUUUAGAAUUUCAAAUUAUAGGGAUCCUAUGGUUCCCCCCAUUUCCUUCUUCCAUAUAAGGGGGGCUUUUUUUUUUUUUAGAUGGGGGAUUGGGAAAUUUGGAGGGUUCUAGAAUUAGGGUUCAAAAAUUAGGUCCAAAAAAUUUUUGGAGUUCGGAUAUUGUUCUAAGAGAUUUUGGGGCUCAAAAUUUCUAGGGUUUGGAAAUUUGAAAGGUGAGGAACUUUGGAUCCAAAAGGAAAAAGAGAGAAGAACCCUUGAGCACAAAUCAGUCUCUGUUAGUAAAGAAUUCCCUUUUUUUCUAGUGAGUUCGUCAGCUAAUCAAAGCUCCGAGUUGACUACGACACAUCUCCGGUGGUGGUGAAAUCCGACGCCAGCUCGUAGCCCAUUUUACUGCUCUCUAAAAGGUAAUAUCAUACACCAUUUUAAUCUUUCGAUUGCUUCUUCUUCAUCUCAACAUUCUGUAGUAGAAAGCUAUUAUUCUAAUGAUCCUGCGCUGGGUGUUCGCUGUAGAUUGUUGAUUAAUUUUCGAUUGAAUGCUCUUAUUUUGUGUGUUGCUUAAGUUUUGUAUGGUUGAUCCCGUUAAAGUUUCGUGCUUUAACAGUUUUUGGGUUGAUAGCAUCUUGUUAGGUCUGGCUUUUAUGUUAAAGUUUUGUGCCUUGGAUCUUGUUUCCAGUAAUCGGUAUCCUGUUGAGGUUGGUUUCGUCGUUUAAAGUUCCAUGCUUUGAUCCUGUUUUGGGAUGUCUGAAUUUUGUUAAGACUGAUUCCAUAGUAAUUUUUUGUGUUUUGGUUUGGUCUAAUAAGUUUCAGGUUGUUGGAAUCUUGUUUACCUGAUUUUUAUGGUUAAAGUUUCACAUUGCGAUUUUGUUCAAUACGUUUUGAGCUGCUGAAUUUCGUUUACCUGUUAACCCUGCUCCCUUUGUGGAAUUGCAAAGUUUGAAUCUUUGUUUCCUUUUGGAGUUUGUUUUAAGUUGGUAUUUCGUUUGUUUGAUCCCCGAAAAAAUGUGAUGGCUUUAUUGUAAAAUAGAAUGGAUAGGGUCUCUUUGAUGUCAAAAAUCAUUAUGUCAAGUUUCAUUGAAAAGGUUAUGAUCUUUUGUUUGUUUGAAAAGCUCUUAUGUCAAGUUUCAUUAAUUCUUGCUUAAGUUGUUGAUUUUAUGUUAGUGUUUGCUAUCCAAGUUGGUAUAUUUAGGUAAAGUAUGUCAAUAAUUCGUGUCCUUUUAAAGGAAUGGUACAGUGAAGAGCUCUGUUUUAUUUCCCCUGAAAAGAAUGGUUCCUUUCUUACUCAAUGUCAUGAAUGGGUCGUUUUUGAAGUUUAUUUUAACCCCCCAACUCUAGUGUACGUCUCAUUGAUGGCUUGUUCUUGCUUACGAGAAUCCUUAGAAAUUUAGUCUUAAGCUCUUUUUUUUAGUUUAUAUGUGUGUCCAUGUACCAGUGAUAGCCGUAAUUGCGUGACUUUUUCUUGACUUUUUUCUAUAUCUUGACGUACUGUUUGCUAUGUCAUUUCAAAUUACAAUAUUCUUUUUGUGUAUUGAUUUUGUUACGUCACUUAUAUAUAUGGCGUUCUGUACUUUGGAUAUGCAUAUUAAUCUCUCUUAUUUUUGUUUCUUGCAUGUGAAUCGCUUGAGUCCUACAUGGAGUCUUUCCCUCUUGCAUAUUCAUCGCGGGCCAAUGAGGCCCAUCUUAUUGAGUCAGCCUCAACUAAAAGUCAGUCGCAUGGCACACGGAUACAAGGACCAAAGGAAGAGUGAAAUGGGUUGAAAUUCCAUAUUUGAAGCGACAAAGGGACUAAAAGUCUCCCUUUUGUUCAUUCGUUCAUAUUAUUUACUUGUCGUCUUUAUCUAUUUUAUUUAUUUAUUUAUUGCAUUAUUCAUUCAUUUCAGCCUCGAAGCCAAAGUUACAUUUAAUAUAGGUGGAGUAAGACUGGAGCCAAAGGCUCGUAAAAUAGUUUAGGACAGGUGAAAUGGGUCGGAAGCCCAACUAGACUAGGGCAGGUCUCGUUGAUUUGGCCCAAUGGCCUAAAUCCUUUACUUUCUCC